UACGUAGGGGGCAAGCGUUGUCCGGAAUCAUUGGGCGUAAAGAGCGUGUAGGCGGCUCGAUAAGUCCACUGUGAAAGUCGGGGGCUCAACCCUCGGAUGCCGGUGGAUACUGUCGGGCUUGAGUACGGAAGAGGCGAGUGGAAUUCCUGGUGUAGCGGUGAAAUGCGCAGAUAUCAGGAGGAACACCAAUUGCGAAGGCAGCUCGCUGGGACGUUACUGACGCUGAGACGCGAAAGCGUGGGGAGCAAACAGG
rnacentral:rRNA from 1 species